GGGGCUGCAGUGGCAAUCGACAGAAGUACUUUAAAAUUAUAAAGACUGUAAGUCGGAGAGAAAACUCCGUAACUCGCCAAAAUUUUGCUUUCGCAAAACCUAAGCGGGUGAAAAAACAAGGCAAUAUAACUGCCAAUCUAAAAGAAAAAGUUAAGGCUGCUUUCAGUGGUCUUAGCUUCUCUCCAGCCGUAGCUUAAAUCUAAGCUACCCGUCUUUACUUUUUAGCCCGGUAAAAUUUAAUGACGACAAACAUCCGGGAUGCAGGGGUCGUUUUCUUGUGGCGGCGCUUAAAGACAAAAGCAGGAUCGGUAGAAAGAAUUUUGUCUAAUUUGUAAAUCUACCUAAACUAAAAUUAGUCUAAGCUUGCUAAACCUUUAUAGUUUUUACUUUUGGACGCGGGUUCGACUCCCGCCAGCUCCACCA
rnacentral:tmRNA from 4 species